rnacentral:tRNA from 1 species
GACCAUGUAGCGCAGUGGUUGACGCGCCCUCCCCCCGGGAGGGAGGACGCCGGUUCGAGUCCGGCCUGGUCC